rnacentral:lncRNA from 1 species
AGCAGUCACUGUGUGCGAAGAGGCUGUGCAGAGAGUCGUGCAGGGACCCACGUUCAGCACGCCACUCCCAAGCCUGCUGCUCUCCCGCUGAGUAAGAGCUUAAGGACGGGUGAUGCCGUGUGUCCAGGUGUGUUGGCCGGUGACGGUCCGCUUGACGGAAGCACCUCCAUUUGCCUGAGUAUCUGGUGUCUGGUCUGCCUCCAGAGCUGCUCUGCCCAGGCCUCCCUAUCAGACUCGGCGUCUACGCACCUCCGCACUCAGCAGGCCUGACCUGAGCCGACGGAGAGAAAGAGCCCCACGAUCACCCUGUGAAGUCGGUACUGCCGAAGCUGCCUGAUGGCCAAGGAACCGAGGCUCAGCGAGGAGACGUGGCCGUGGUCACGGCGACAGAGCCAGCACGCUAACCUGGGCCUGUUGGGUUCAAUUCCUGUGCCCUCUUCCUGUUGCGCCGCAGAGGGGAGGCCAGGCGCUUAAACGAAGGCCCAGGGUAAGUAAGCAGAAGGCAGCCAGGCCUGGGGCCAGUGCGUGGCGCUGGGUCCCUCUGCUGGGGGAGGAGGACUCCGAAAGCCAGCUGCAGAGAGGACGUGGCUCCAUCCAGCUGUCCAGGGCCUGCAGCUAGAGUUGCAGUCACUGGGGUGGGGCCAUGCGGGGCACCCAAAGGAACAGUAGAGCAGCAGCCGCAAGGGAGGCUGGGGAGGGACACAGGUCCCAGGGUGUUGGGCAGGGCACAGCCGGGCCACCUGAGGGAGCCAUCCCUUGGCACCUGGGUGACGAGAGCUUAGAAAUGUGCUGUCAUUCGCACGCACCACAUUUUUUGGCUUGUCUUCACUUAGACUAAUCUACGUAUCAAAUUGCAUAGGUAGAAAUUAAAAAGUAGACCUUCCAGGUUUGGGCUGAACGCGUUUCACAAAACACGGGUGGAAAUGAUGACACAUCGCAUCCCUGCUGCCCGCGUUGCCACC